GCUGCUUCUUGGCCUUUUGGCUAAGAUCAUGUGUGGUACCUGUUCUUAUCAGUUUAAUAUCUGAUAAGUCCUCGAUGAGAGGAUUUUAUAGUAAAUGGAUUUUUGGGCUUGGGAUAUAAAAAAAAAAUCAAU
rfam:Caprimulgus carolinensis contig33460, whole genome shotgun sequence.